CCUACGGGGGGCAGCAGUGAGGAAUAUUGGUCAAUGGCCGGAAGGCUGAACCAGCCAUGCCGCGUGAAGGUCAGUGCCCUAUGGGCGUUAAACUUCUUUUGUGCGGGAGCAAUAAUGGUCAUGUGUGGCCAGACGAGAGUACCGUACGAAUAAGCAUCGGCUAACUCCGUGCCAGCAGCCGCGGUAAUACGGGGGAUGCAAGCGUUAUCCGGAUUUAUUGGGUUUAAAGGGCGUGUAGCCGGGCUGACAAGUCAGAUGUGAAAUUCCGGGGCUCAACCCCGGACCUGCAUUUGAAACUGUUGGUCUUGAGUAUCGGAGAGGCAGGCGGAAUUCCUAGUGUAGCGGUGAAAUGCGUAGAUAUUAGGAGGAACACCAGUGGCGAAGGCGGCCUGCUGGACGACAACUGACGGUGAGGCGCGAAAGCGUGGGGAGCAAACAGGAUUAGAUACCCGUGUAGUC
rnacentral:rRNA from 1 species